rnacentral:tRNA from 2 species
AGGGGUUUAGCUCAGUUGGUAGAGCGCCGGUCUCCAAAACCGAAGGUCGUGGGUUCGAGUCCCUCAACCCCUG